rnacentral:lncRNA from 1 species
AAUAUCUGGAAAGGGAAUCAUCCUUGGAUGCGUUGGAAACUUGUGCAAAAGCUUCAAGGAGCUGAGUGCUGAUGAUUCCGCAAGAGAAGCUAAGUGUGUUAUACCUCAUUACUACAAGUGUGAUCAGAAGCAGCUGCUGCUUGAUGCUGUCACUACACAUAAGCCACCAACUUACUACCGCUUUGUUUCCUUCUCUGCGAAUCAUUUUAGAGAGUACUGUUUGAGUGACAAGUCUGAUAAGCGACUUGUGUAUGCUUGGGAUAAACUCUUGCCUGUGACUUGUAUAGAUCCCAAAUCGGAAGGAAAUAACCGAUCAACAAGCCAUAGCGAAUAAAAGGUUGACACGUUAACUUUGUUCUCUUUUCCUUUUUUUUUGGGAAAAAAAUAUCUUCACCAACGGGUCUAAUUAUUUAUCUCACACAUAAAAAAAUAUCUUCACCAACGGACCUGGCCUAUUAAUAAUAUAUAACCUUUCGGUUUCUCGUUUAUUUAGACCCCAAAUAAAAAGUGGUUUAGGUUUCAGCGCUUCGCUUGCCUCUCUGUUCAUAAUCCUGUCGAAGAGAGAUAAGAGUUGCGUAAUUCACUCUAAGAUUUCGUCCAAAAGAAAGAUAUUUAGCGUAAAGGUAAGUUCGUUGAAUUCGUUUUUUAAUCGUUUUCUCUGUAAUCUGCCAUGUAAGUUUUUUUUUUUUUAAAAUUUGAGCAGAAUUUACCUUGUUUGUUUUUAAAAAGGUACCAGCUUUCCUCUCUUCAUGAGCUGCAUGCAUGAGUAAAAAAAUUCUAAACUGUUUCAGGGCAUAUCUUUAUCUCAGACAUGGCUCGGAUCUUGUUCUGCAUGUUUUUAAAAACUACCUUUUUAACUGUUUUUACUGCAGAUUUUGGGUACUGAUCUGUAUGUGUAAAAACCUUUGACACUUUUAAAAAUUGUUUCAAUGCAGAUCUUUUUGCAUCAAAAACAUGUCUGAUGAUUUGGUGAAUCCGGUGAUAAGCUUGAAGCUACUCAUAGACAAAGAGAAAAACAAGGUUGUAUAUGCUGAAUCUGGUGAAGAUUUCGUCGACAUACUCUUUAGUUUCUUGACAUUGCCAAUGGGAACACUCGUUAGAUUGCUUGAGAUGCAUCAGAAGUCAAAGUCAGUCCCCAUCGGCUGUUUCAACAAUAUCUAUGCUAGUGUAGCGAGUAUGGCGAUGAAGCAUUUCAGUACCGAAGCUUCCAAACAGAUGCUUCUCUACCCUGGGAGUUUGAAUCGCGACAAAUGCCAAAAGACCAAGCUGAGGAUAGAUGAUACACAGGCUACUAAAUGUUUCAUGUGCCCUAUGUUUGUGCGAAGCGGGGAAUGUAGUAAAGGGUAUAGCAAUUUCAACACCUCGAGGUGUAGCUGUGGGAAUUUGAUGAGUGAAGUCAUUCAGUUCCAAGGAGAAGGAGGCAGAGCAAGUGCAGGGCGGAAUGGUGGAGGAGUGUUUGUGAGGAGUGCUUCAUUCAUCAUCACUGAUGAUUUGAAUGUGGAAGUUAACUCUGUUCUGUCUACACUUAAACUUCUUAAAGAGCUUGGCUACGCAGCAGAUUGCCAUAAGCUGGUUGAGAUGAUUCUUGACGUCAAUCUCCAAGAGGCAAUAUAUUAUUCUACUUAAAAAUACUUAAUUUUGAAUAUUAAAAAAACGUUUUAAGUUCUUAACGCAGUUUCAUCUGAUUUUUUUAGGUAGCGACUUUGCUGGAGUGUUUGUUCACAUCGGAUACUCCAUUGACGGAUACAUUUCUGAAAAAGAAAAGUUCAUGCGGUCUUAAGAGGAUGCUGAGUCCUCCCGCCUUGAGCGAUGAAGAAAAAGAAGAAAGGGAAUCAAAAGGUGAUCAAACGAUAACGCUGAAUGCAUAUGUGAGGAAGAAGGAAGGGAACAUCAUGUACGUUGAGUGUGGUGAAGAUUUUGUUGAUCUUCUUUUCACUUUUCUUGCAAUGCCUCUAGAGUCUGUAUGGGGAAUAUCUGGAAAGGGAAUCAUCCUUGGAUGCGUUGGAAACUUGUGCAAAAGCUUCAAGGAGCUGAGUGCUGAUGAUUCCGCAAGAGAAGCUAAGUGUGUUAUACCUCAUUACUACAAGUGUGAUCAGAAGCAGCUGCUGCUUGAUGCUGUCACUACACAUAAGCCACCAACUUACUACCGCUUUGUUUCCUUCUCUGCGAAUCAUUUUAG